CUGGAAUUCACCUUCGGGUGAUAGUACGGUGGCGGACGGGUGAGUAACGCGUAAAGAACUUGCCCUCUAGACUGGGACAACUGUUGGAAACGACAGCUAAUACCGGAUAUUAUGAGAGCCUCGCAUGGGGAACUCAUGAAAGCUAUAUGCGCUAGAGGAGAGCUUUGCGUGCCAUUAGCUAGUUGGUGGGGUAACGGCCCACCAAGGCGACGAUGGCUAGCCGGCCUGAGAGGGUGAUCGGCCACAAGGGGACUGAGACACGGCCCUUACUCCUACGGGAGGCAGCAGUGGGGAAUAUUGGACAAUGGACCAAAAGUCUGAUCCAGCAAUUCUGUGUGCACGAUGAAGGUCUUCGGAUCGUAAAGUGCUUUCAGGUGGGAAGAAAAAAAUGACGGUACCACCAGAAGAAGCGACGGCUAAAUACGUGCCAGCAGCCGCGGUAAUACGUAUGUCGCAAGCGUUAUCCGGAAUUAUUGGGCGUAAAGCGCGUCUAGGCGGCCUUUUAAGUCUGAUGUGAAAAUGCGGGGCUCAACUCCGUAUUGCGUUGGAAACUGGAAGGCUAGAGUAUCAGAGAGGUGGGCGGAACUACAAGUGUAGAGGUGAAAUUCGUAGAUAUUUGUAGGAAUGCCGAUUGGGAAGCCAGCUCACUGGAUGAAUACUGACGCUGAAGCGCAAAAGCGUGGGGAGCAAACGGGAUUAGAUACCCCGGUAGUCCACGCCGUAAACGAUGAUCACUAAGUGUGGGGGGUCGAACCUCCGUGCUCAAGCUAACGCGAUAAGUGAUCCGCCUGGGGAGUACGCACGCAAGUGUGAAACUCAAAGGAAUUGACGGGGACCCGCACAAGCGGUGGAGCAUGUGGUUUAAUUCGACGCAACGCGAGGAACCUUACCAGCCCUUGACAUCCUCAGAACUUAGCAGAGAUGCUUUGGUGCCACUUCGGUGGAACUGAGUGACAGGUGGUGCAUGGCUGUCGUCAGCUCGUGUCGUGAGAUGUUGGGUUAAGUCCCGCAACGAGCGCAACCCCUUUCGUACGUUACCAUCAUUAAGUUGGGGACUCAUGCGAUACUGCCUGCGACGAGCAGGAGGAAGGUGGGGAUGACGUCAAGUCAUCAUGCCCCUUAUGGGCUGGGCUACACACGUGCUACAAUGGGCGAUACAGAGAGUCGCGAUACCGCGAGGUGGAGCUAAUCUCAGAAAGUCGUUCUUAGUUCGGAUCGCAGUCUGCAACUCGACUGCGUGAAGUUGGAAUCGCUAGUAAUCGCGAAUCAGCAAUGUCGCGGUGAAUACGUUCUCGGGUCGUUGUACA
rnacentral:rRNA from 1 species